GUGUAUGCGAAGUAGAGGGUCUGCACAUCCAAGUCUCCAUGAAGGAUUGUUUUAGAUUUUUAGAGAUUUGAUCUUUGGUUCUACUACUAAUCAAAUAAGGAUUUGAUCUUUAUUCAUGUAGAUUAAUAAAAAAAUUUUAGAUGCAACCUGGACUAUCUGAAGAGAAACUAUUUCUCUUCCCUUCAAUUGGUAUCAGAACAGUACUGAAAUACAUG
rnacentral:lncRNA from 1 species